rnacentral:lncRNA from 1 species
GCACCUCAUAAGGAACAUUCAUGCCAUGUUUGGUUUUAUUCCAUUCAGUGGUUCUCUAGAAGAAGUUCAAAAUGUAAAAAGUUAACGGCGACGAUGACGGACGAUGACAACGGACGAUAACGACGGACGACAGACGACGGACACCAAGUGAUGAGAAAAGCUCACUUGGCCCUUUGGGCCAGGUGAGCUAAACAAAGGGGAGUUCCAGAAGUGGACACCCUUUUAUUUUUUUUAUUUUUUUUUUAAUUAUGUUAUGUUUUAUCUUUUUCAGGGGUUGGCACCCACUUAUCAAAAUGUCUCGAUCCAAGCCUGAAAUGUCUCAACUGUAUAAAUGAAUAUGACUGCAUGAACAAUAUUUGAAGUCACUAAUGUAUCUUAUGGUGCAAUCAAAUCUUAUGAAUUCAAGCUUUGUGUGAAGGUCAAGGCAACAAUUGUUUAAAGUGUACAACAAUUUUAGCACUGUGCAAGGGUGACAAUAUACUAAAACACUAGUAAUCAACUGUGGCAGUCAUAUCUUUGUGGAGAACAAAAUAAGCCUAAUAAUUCAUAAUGACAUAUAUAAGACAAAGAUAUGGAUUUAAGUUGUAGAAUACACUCAGCUGUGACAUAAUGUUAGUGACAAUAGACUAAAGACUCAGACCAUACAUUAUACUCUGGCUCAGCUGUGACAUAAUGUUAGUGACAAUAAACUAAAGACUCAGACCAUAUACUUAUUCUCCCAAGACUAUAAGUAUUCCGUAACACUCCUGUUGAUACUUAUCUAAUGCAAAUCUCAUGCAUUAUAGGAUCAUUUUACAGUAUUGACUUGCUAGACUGAUUAAUCUAUCAUUUAGUAUUAUAUUCAAUAACAUGCAAUAAAACUUGGAUAAAGAUCAUGUAUUAUUUCUGCACUAAGACAUUUUGAAAGUGCAUCCUUU